UAAGACCAAAUUCUGCAUGCCCCUGAGCUACAGGAAAUUCAGACAUUUCUCUCCAUCCCAGUGCAUAACGUUUGUCUCAGGCAGAUGUCCAAGUAAAUUGGAAAAGAUUCCUAUAGUAUCAUGGAAAAGCAAACCAGUUAUGGAGUAUCAGAAGACCAUCCGGAGUAAUCAGAAACUGAGCAGUAGGAGGUACCAAACUGGAUCUUCUUUUGCGCUGUGGAAUAGUUCUAGCAUCACUUCUGAUCAGAGUACAUUGAUCUGAAUUUGAGACUGAACUCCUUACAAAAAUCAGAGGCAGCAAUGAAGACCAGGAAUGCAAUGAUGUCCAGGAAGGCAAUGAUGUCCAAGAAGGACCAUGUUCCAUGGUCUUUGGAGAGAUCUUGUCCUUACUUUUGCCUGCUGCAUUUAGGAGUUUUGUUACCUCAAUCCAAAAUAAAGCUGCU